rnacentral:tRNA from 1 species
CGCGGGAUAGAGAAGAGGUUAUCUCAUCAGCCUCAUGAGCUGAAGAUCCGUGGUUCAAAUCCACGUCCCGCGCCCA